rnacentral:rRNA from 1 species
UAAAGUUCUAAAUAGUAGAAUGAUUAUGACANNNNNNACUUAUUUGUCUUGACCAAAUCACGUGCCAGCAGUCGCGGCAAGACGUGAAAGACUAGUGUUAUUCAUCUUUACUAGGUUUAAAGGGUACCUAGACGGCAUUUAUUGCCCAUAAAUAUUUGCUAGAGUUUUAUGAAGGUAAGUAUUUAAAGUGUAGAGAUGUAAUUCUAUAAUACUUUAAAGACUGAUAACGGUGAAUACAAUCUACCGUUAACAACUGACGUUGAGGGACGAAGGCUUUGGUAGNGAAAAGGAUUAGAGACCCUUGUAGUCUAAGCAGAAAAUGAUGAAUGUCAUAUGUUUUAAUAUUUAGCAUAUAAAUGAAAGUUUAAGCAUUCCACCUCAAGAGUAAUGUGGCAACACAGGAACUGAAAUCAUUAGACCGUUUCUGAAAUCAGUAGUGAAGUAUGUUGUUUAAUUCGGUAAUCCACGAAAAACCUUACCACAAUUUGAAUACAUGCGCUGCACGGCUGUCUUCAGUUGAUGUCGUGAGAUUAAAUUAACGUAAACCCUUGUUAUAUUUCUAUAAAAGGGACUAAGACAAGUCAACAUGGCC